GAUGAAGAACGUAGCGAAAUGGGAUACGUAAUGUGAAUUGCAGAAUUCAGUGAAUCAUCGAGUCUUUGAACGCACAUUGCGCCCCCUGGUAUUCCGGGGGGCAUGCCUGUCCGAGCGUCAUUGCUGCCCUCAAGCACGGCUUGUGUGUUGGGCCUCCGCCCCCCGGCUCCCGGGGGGCGGGCCCGAAAGGCAGCGGCGGCACCGCGUCCGGUCCUCGAGCGUAUGGGGCUUCGUCACCCGCUCCGUAGGCCCGGCCGGCGCCUGCCGGCGACCCCCCUGAAUCUUUCCAGGUUGACCUCGGAUCAGGUAGGGAUACCCGCUGAACUUAAGCAUAUCAAUAAGCGGAGGA
rnacentral:misc_RNA from 1 species